rnacentral:rRNA from 1 species
GUGAACGGCGGGCCAGCGGGCGGGGGAAGGCGUAGGAGGCGAGCGGUGUCCGGAUUCAUUGGGCGGAAAGAGCAGGCAGGGGGGUGGGCAAGUCGGAUGUGAAAACCCGAAGCUCAACUGCGGGCCUGCAUCCGAAACUGCCCGACUAGAGGUAGGUAGGGGAGAUCGGAAUUCCUGGUGUAGCGGUGAAAUGCGCAGAUAUCAGGAGGAACACCGGUGGCGAAGGCGGAUCUCUGGGCCUUACCUGACGCUCAGGUGCGAAAGCUAGGGGAGCGAACAGGAUUAGAUACCCGUGUAGUC